rnacentral:lncRNA from 1 species
GCGGACGGGCGGAGGAGGACCGGGGCGGCGCCUUGGCGACGGACGGAGCCGGGGCCGGCGGGGUGGCGCUGGAGGGGCCGAGGAGGAGGGCCAGGCGGUCGGGUGCGGAUAAGGUCGGGAGGGAGGAGCGGAUGGAUAAGGAGAGAGGAGAGGAAAAGAAAAGAAGGGGAGAAGGAAAGAGAAAGAAAAAAAGGAAAGAAAAAGAAAAGGAAAAUGAGGAGAAAAAAGAAAAAGAGAACAGAAAAAUAUAAGGGUAUUUUGGACAUUUGACACCUUCUUUCCAAUCUACAAAGCUAGGAGAAGUCGUUUUGCCAAACGUUUUCAGCCAGAACUAAAAAAAGCUGCUUUUCCAGAUGAGCUAGAGCCAAAGCUGUUUUGUCACGAGCCAAAGCCG